AUUGAACGCUGGCGGCAUGCUUUACACAUGCAAGUCGAACGGUAACAGGCCGCAAGGUGCUGACGAGUGGCGAACGGGAGAGUAAUGCAUCGGAACGUGCCCAGUCGUGGGGGAUAACGCAGCGAAAGCUGCGCUAAUACCGCAUACGAUCUAUGGAUGAAAGCGGGGGACCGUCAGGCCUCGCGCGAUUGGAGCGGCCGAUGUCAGAUUAGGUAGUUGGUGGGGUAAAGGCUCACCAAGCCGACGAUCUGUAGCUGGUCUGAGAGGACGACCAGCCACACUGGGACUGAGACACGGCCCAGACUCCUACGGGAGGCAGCAGUGGGGAAUUUUGGACAAUGGGCGCAAGCCUGAUCCAGCAAUGCCGCGUGCAGGAAGAAGGCCUUCGGGUUGUAAACUGCUUUUGUACGGAACGAAAAGGCUCUGGUUAAUACCUGGGGCUCAUGACGGUACCGUAAGAAUAAGCACCGGCUAACUACGUGCCAGCCGCCGCCGUAAAAC
rnacentral:rRNA from 1 species